CGAUCGGGACAAACAUCAACAAAAACAUCAAAUGGUUUUUGCCAUAUAAACACUAGAAAAAUAUUCGAAAGUAAAAGAAAAAGAAAAAGAAAAAAAAAUUCAAGAAAUUCGCGAAAUCAGGAGACUGCUUGGCGACUUUGAUGAUGAUUUUGAUCUUUUUUUUCAUUUCAUUUCGUUUCUUUCAUCAUCGUUUUCGAGAAAAUCACCAUUUUCAUUGCUUUUCCUCUCUCGUUUUACGUUAUACAUUUCUUGUUUUUUUUGGUAGUGUGUGUGUGUGUGUGUUUGAUUUCGAUUUUGCUGACCACCAGCUGUGAUCGAUAUUUGUCCAUCGUCAGUCUAUAGGCUGAACGUUGAACGUUGAACGCUGCUGCUGCUGCUGAACAGAACUGAUGAGAUCGACCCGAGAAUAAACUGCAAAAAAAAACUCGAAUUUUCAAAUUCAAUCACCUGAAAUCUGGAUAG